AGAGAUGUUCUGGAAUUCCUUCUCAUCUACAGCAAGUUUGAACUGGGAGAUAAUAAUUCUAAAUGGGAGAGUGCAGUGCUUAGUGUAGUGACAAGUUAUUUUAAUGCACACUUCAAGGUUGCUGCAUACUUAUCGUGACUUAAUUCAGCAUAAAAUACAGACCAAGAAGUCCAAUGAACUAAUAGCAGGUAGCAGUGUAAACUUCAGGUGGCUACUGAAACCCUAAGUAAAUCAACAAGUCAAAGUGAAUGUGGAAGGCAGACUUAGAGAGAGAAGGUUGAGCCUGCUUAACAUCCUUGCCUAGCCAUCUCAACUUGGGCAUGACCUCAGGAAGACGAAGGUCAAGUGCUUCAGCAACGUUUAUCAUUUGCCAUGCCUGAGAUGUCUCCUUAUGAGAACGUCAGCACAUUGAUCUUAGGCUACAGGAAGGAACUGGAAAGACAUUCAGACAAAAGUGCUGGCUGCACAUUUGGGCAAAGUGCUGACAUGCUUUUGUUGUGAUGAACGUGGUGCUAUCCCUGAGCCUGGUGAUGAUGACCUAGAAGGAGAUGGAGCAGACCAUAAUCUGUGAUUCAUGAAGAAGUGGACUGUUGGAAUACCUGAAACUGAGUCUGCUUGUGAAUGGUUAUGGUUAUGUUAUGGUUUCUGGAAAGCUAAAAUGGGGCAAAG
rnacentral:lncRNA from 1 species